GGUUUGCAUUGCGGUGUAGUCAUUUGUGCACCUUUAAAUAAAGCUUAAGAAGAUAUUUUAGUCAGCUUUCAGAGGUUUACACAUUUACUACCAACCGGAACUGAUCAUGAAACAUGUGAAUAUCGUAACAGCAUGAAUUAUGACGAACGCAGCACUCGUGUAGAACAGUAGGAAUGAAUUGGACAUUAAACUGAUGCCCCAUCUGGCAGCUCAAAUGAAUGGUGCUUGAAGAACGGAAGAGCUCUCCUCGUGUCUUGAGUUAACAUUUCUCAUUACUUGAAGAUCAGCAAAGCAGGUGCUGUCAACUGUGAGCUGUGAGCUGAAGGUGACCUUUGGACUGUAAGUCGCAACAUUUUUUCUAAAUAAGAAGAGAAGAAACAAACUAAUAUUCGUUUAUAAGGCCAGGCCUGAAAGUGAAUUGCAAGUUAAUGUUUGAUGAACACUGUCGGCAUUUCGAUUUUGGAGAUGAAUUAUGCUCAAAUAAAUGACGUGUUAAUGUUUAUAGGGGCCUCAGAGGGAGACAAGUGUCAUCCAGUCAAACAAAGAGAAACCUAAAUUUGAACUAGUUUUGAACUUUGCAUUUUGUCAGAAGGAUUGCGGCUACCAAAGUUGCAGGAUGGAGGUUUGGUUGCUCCCUGAUUAUCCUCCCAAUAUCAACUUAUAGAAAGUUUGGAGAAUAGAAUCUCAGUUAUGUAUUAAGCAAAUAUUCAUCAGUCUACUGAAAACUAUUUGCAUUGACCAAUGCCUUUGUCAGCCGUGCAAAAUAAAAUCCCAUGUGCCUGUGAUAUUACAGAUCGUGGAAACUGUUUAAGUGAA